rnacentral:rRNA from 2 species
AGACCCGAAACCCGGUGAUCUAGCCAUGGGCAGGUUGAAGGUUGGGUAACACUAACUGGAGGACCGAACCGACUAAUGUUGAAAAAUUAGCGGAUGACCUGUGGCUGGGGGUGAAAGGCCAAUCAAACCGGGAGAUAGCUGGUUCUCCCCGAAAGCUAUUUAGGUAGCGCCUCGUGAAUUCAUCUCCGGGGGUAGAGCACUGUUUCGGCUAGGGGGCCAUCCCGGCUUACCAACCCGAUGCAAACUGCGAAUACCGGAGAAUGUUAUCACGGGAGACACACGGCGGGUGCUAACGUCCGUCGUGAAGAGGGAAACAACCCAGACCGCCAGCUAAGGUCCCAAAGUCAUGGUUAAGUGGGAAACGAUGUGGGAAGGCCCAGACAGCCAGGAUGUUGGCUUAGAAGCAGCCAUCAUUUAAAGAAAGCGUAAUAGCUCACUGGUCGAGUCGGCCUGCGCGGAAGAUGUAACGGGGCUAAACCAUGCACCGAAGCUGCGGCAGCGAACGUAUCACUUAAAGCGAUUCAGCGGGUUACGAUUGACGGAGCGAAGCGACGUCAAAGCGUAUACAAAGUCGAG